GGAGAAAUGGCAGAGUGGUUGAAAGCACUGGUUUGCUAAAUCAGCAUACGUUCUUUGAAUGUAUCAAGGGUUCGAAUCCCUUUUUCUCCG
rnacentral:tRNA from 1 species